rnacentral:lncRNA from 1 species
UGCACACCAAAGAUACCAUGAAGCAACAAGACCAAGGUUCCAAAGUUAAAAAAGAGAUGCCCUCCAAUGCCGAGCCGAGACAAGAAAAACCAAAUGCAAGCCAAUAGAGAUGCAUAGCCAUGUGAUGUGUCUUCAAACCAUAGAAAACAAAUCCACGUUGAUGCAUUCAAACCAUAGGCCAACAAAUCAAUACUUCCAACAAUGAAGCUUAAGAAAAUACCAACAUAGCCAAAACUAGAACAAAAAUGCAGCAGUAAUGCUGCACAAAAUAAAACCAA